AUGAAGGGUGGUGGCACCCACUUGUAAUCUUUGGGGCUGGGGAGAUGGAGGCUGAUGGAUCUCUUGAGCUCAGGAGUUCUGAGCUGAAGAGAGCUAAGACAAUUGGCUGUUCUCAUUAAGUCUGGUAUCAAUAUGGUGAACUCCUGGGAGUAGAGGAUGAGGAAGUCACCAGGUUGUCUAAGGAAGGGUGAAUUGGCCCAGGUUGGAAACAGGGCAUGUCAAAGAUCUUGUGCCAGUGAGUAGUGGGAAGGGGCGGAGAGUGGUGGCCGCCCUUCCAGUCUGGGACAAAACAACAAUAAACAA
rnacentral:SRP_RNA from 1 species